CAAAAGCUUCCAAUCAUACUACCCCAGUCGCCCGUACCGCAAACCGACACAGGUGGGUGAGUCGAAUAGACUAAGGCGCGCGAGAGAAACCUCUCUAAGGAACUCGGCAAAAUAGCCCCGUAACUUCGGGAGAAGGGGUGACCACUUCGGUGGUUCUCAGUAAAUUGGGUUUAGCGACUGUUUAACAAAAACACAGCACUCUGCCAAGUCGUGAAGACGACGUAUAGGGUGUGACACUGACCAAUGCGGAAAGAUCAAGGUAACUUGUUAGCCGUAAGGCGAAGCUCGGAGCCAAAGUCCCCGUGAAUGUCGGCCGUAACUAUAACGGUCCUAAGGUAGCGAAAUUCCUUGUCGGGUAAGUUCCGACCUGCACGAAUCGUGUAACGACUGAACCGCUGUCUCGGAGAGGAUCUCGGCGAAAUUGUAACGGCGGUGAAGAUGCCGCCUGCCCGCAGUAGGACGGAAAGACCCUAUGCACCUUUACUGUAAGCUGAUAUUGUGUUCUGAUUAAUGAUGCUUAGCGUAGGUGGGAGACUUUGAAGGCGUGGCUUCGGUUGCGCUGGAGUCGAAAUGUGAAACACCACUCUUCGUUAAUUAGGAUUCUAACUUCAACCUGUUAGCCAGGUGAAGGACGGUGUCUGCGGGUCAGUUUGACUGGGGCGGUUUCCUCCCAAAGAGUAACGGGGGAGCGCUAAGGUACUCUCAGCAUGGUUGGCAACUAUGCGUCGAGCGUAUGGGUAGAAGAGUGCUUAACUGCGAGACCUACAAGUCGAGCAGGUACGAAAGUAGGCCCAAAUGAUCCGAUGGUUUAAUGUGGAAUUGCCAUCGCUCAACGGACAAAAGGUACGCUAGGGAUAACAGGCUGAUCGGAUCCAAGAGUUCAUAUCGACGAUCCGGUUUGGCACCUCGAUGUCGGCUCAUCGCAUCCUGGGGCUGGAGAAGGUCCCAAGGGUCCGGCUGUUCGCCGGUUAAAGCGGUACGCGAGCUGGGUUCAGAACGUCGUGAGACAGUUCGGUCCUUAUCCACUGUGGGCGCAGGAAACUUGAGGGGUUCAUUCCUUAGUACGAGAGGACCGGGAAUGACGCACUUCUGGUGUGGCAAUUGUCUCGUCAGAGGCAUCGUUGCGUAGCCAUGUGCGGAAGAGAUAAGCGCUGAAAGCAUCUAAGUGCCAAGCUCAUCCCAAGAUAUUGUUUCCCGGACGAAAGUCCCUAAAGACCCCAUGUAGACCACAUGGUUGAUAGGUUAGGCGUGCAAGCGCUGUAAGGCGUUUAGCGGACUAAUACUAAUCGGUCGUGCGGCUUGAUUGC
rnacentral:rRNA from 1 species